GACGAACGCUGGCGGCGUGCUUAACACAUGCAAGUCGAACGAUGAUCAGGAGCUUGCUCCUGUGAUUAGUGGCGAACGGGUGAGUAACACGUGAGUAACCUGCCCCUGACUCUGGGAUAAGCGUUGGAAACGACGUCUAAUACUGGAUAUGAUCACUGGCCGCAUGGUCUGGUGGUGGAAAGAUUUUUUGGUUGGGGAUGGACUCGCGGCCUAUCAGCUUGUUGGUGAGGUAAUGGCUCACCAAGGCGACGACGGGUAGCCGGCCUGAGAGGGUGACCGGCCACACUGGGACUGAGACACGGCCCAGACUCCUACGGGAGGCAGCAGUGGGGAAUAUUGCACAAUGGGCGAAAGCCUGAUGCAGCAACGCCGCGUGAGGGAUGACGGCCUUCGGGUUGUAAACCUCUUUUAGUAGGGAAGAAGCGAAAGUGACGGUACCUGCAGAAAAAGCACCGGCUAACUACGU
rnacentral:rRNA from 1 species